rnacentral:rRNA from 1 species
UACAUGGGGUGCAAACGUUGCUCGGAAUUAUUGGGCGUAAAGCGCGCGUAGGCGGUUACUCAAGUCGGAUGUGAAAGCCCUCGGCUUAACUGAGGAAGUGCACCCGAAACUGAGUAGCUAGAGUACUAAAGAGGGUCGCGGAAUUCCCGGUGUAGAGGUGAAAUUCGUAGAUAUCGGGAGGAACACCGGUGGCGAAGGCGGCGACCUGGGUAGAUACUGACGCUGAGGCGGCGAAAGCGUGGGGAGCAAACAGG